rnacentral:rRNA from 1 species
CCUACGGGGGGCAGCAGUGAGGAAUAUUGGUCAAUGGGCUAAGGCCUGAACCAGCCAAGUCGCGUGAGGGAAGACGGUCCUAUGGAUUGUAAACCUCUUUUGUCGGGGAGCAACGAGGCCACGUGUGGCCGAAGUGAGAGUACCCGAAGAAAAAGCAUCGGCUAACUCCGUGCCAGCAGCCGCGGUAAUACGGAGGAUGCGAGCGUUAUCCGGAUUUAUUGGGUUUAAAGGGUGCGUAGGCGGUUUGUCAAGUCAGCGGUAAAAAUUCCGGGCUCAACCCGGUCCCGCCGUUGAAACUGGCGAAC